rnacentral:rRNA from 1 species
UCCGUAGGGGGCAAGCGUUGUCCGGAUUUAUUGGGCGUAAAGAGCGUGUAGGCGGCCGUACAGGUCAGCUGUGAAAACUCGAGGCUCAACCUCGAGACGUCGGUUGAAACCGUACGGCUAGAGUCCGGAAGAGGAGAGUGGAAUUCCCGGUGUAGCGGUGAAAUGCGUAGAUAUCGGGAAGAACACCCGUGGCGAAGGCGGCUCUCUGGGACGGUACUGACGCUGAGACGCGAAAGCGUGGGGAGCGAACAGG